GAUGAACGCUGGCGGCGUGCCUAAUACAUGCAAGUCGAGCGAACGGACGAGAAGCUUGCUUUUCUGAUGUUAGCGGCGGACGGGUGAGUAACACGUGGAUAACCUACCUAUCAGACUGGGAUAACUUCGGGAAACCGGAGCUAAUACCGGAUAAUAUUUUGAACCGCAUGGUUCAAAGGUGAAAGACGGUCUUGCUGUCACUUAUAGAUGGAUCCGCGCUGCAUUAGCUAGUUGGUAAGGUAACGGCUUACCAAGGCAACGAUGCGUAGCCGACCUGAGAGGGUGAUCGGCCACACUGGAACUGAGACACGGUCCAGACUCCUACGGGAGGCAGCAGUAGGGAAUCUUCCGCAAUGGGCGAAAGCCUGACGGAGCAACGCCGCGUGAGUGAUGAAGGUCUUCGGAUCGUAAAACUCUGUUAUUAGGGAAGAACAUAUGUGUAAGUAACUGUGCACAGCUUGACGGUACCUAAUCAGAAAGCCACGGCUAACUACGUG
rnacentral:rRNA from 1 species